rnacentral:ncRNA from 1 species
GGUAUUGCCAUUGAAGAAGAGACCCACACAUGAGAGUGUGCUAGAAAGAGUAGUUAUUACUUGCUCAAAAUGUUUAGGUAGUAUAAAAGUGAUAUCCAAUAUGACUAAUAUAAAAAUAGUAAAUAUGGUAUGGUAUACAUAGGAAUACACAAAAUAAUGUAUAUAAAGAAAGAAAAAAGUAGCUUGCAAACAUUGAAAAUAG